rnacentral:tRNA from 1 species
GCCGGAGUGGUGGAAUGGCAGACACAGUGGACUCAAAAUCCACCGGUAGCGAUAUCGUACGGGUUCAAGUCCCGUCUCCGGCACCA